rfam:Pseudomonas rhizosphaerae strain DSM 16299, complete genome.
UGACCAAGGGGUCGGGUUGUUCUGAAUGCAGCUGGUUCGGAGUGACCUAGGGGUACAGGGAGGACCUCCGAACCGGGCCGGGUCAGGCAACAG